GAAAAUUUGCUCUUUUAGUAUUUCUCCAGUAGGCUUCCUGAAGAAGAAAGCCUCC
ensembl:snRNA U7 U7 small nuclear RNA